rnacentral:lncRNA from 1 species
CACAAAUCAUAGCCAAAGACCAAGGAAAUGGGUCCUGUAUGUUCUCUUGGAAACAUUUUUUAUGCUAGCAAACCAACUUUGGGGAAAUAAAUACCCUGGUAUUUUCACCCCCUGCACCUGAAAUUAGACUCAUUUUGUGUCUUUUAUUUCCUGCAAGGUGAAAUAUGUAAGUAUUUUAUGUUUAUUUCUCCCACUUUGAACCUAUAGGAAACCUGACACUUUGACUGCUUUGAUCACUUACUUCCUUCCUUCUUGACCAAGUGGGACUCAAAGGCACCCCGUGAUCUAAGCACAACAGAAAACAGCAAGUGUUGAGUCUCCUGGAAGUGAAUUCUAUUUACGUUCUCUUUAUAUUAUCUGAAGGGUCUUACACUGCUGUUUGUAAUCUUGCAAUGCAUAUUGGUACUGAAGGAGGCAAGGCUCUGCUCUAACGGCCUUUCAACUAGUUCCUGGGAGUUGUCUUUCACACAAACAGCAAGUGCUACAGACUUUACCGUCAUGGAAGGAGAAAGAGACAAGUGCACAGGUAAGACAUUUGAGAGCUGUCUAGAUAGUGAGUUU